UAGCCUUGACAUUGAUAGAAUACACCAGAGAUGGAGUAGUGCCUUUCGGGGAACUUGAAAACAGGUGCUGCACGGCUGUCGUCAGCUCGUGUCGUGAGAUGUUAGGUUAAGUCCCGCAACGAGCGCAACCCUCGUCCUUAGUUGCCAGCAGGUUAAGCUGGGCACUCUAAGGAGACUGCCUUCGUAAGGAGGAGGAAGGUGAGGACGACGUCAAGUCAUCAUGGCCCUUAUGGCUAGGGCUACACACGUGCUACAAUGGGGCGUACAGAGUGUUGCGAUACCGCGAGGUGGAGCUAAUCACUUAAAGCGUCUCUCAGUUCGGAUAGCAGUCUGCAACUCGACUGCUUGAAGCUGGAAUCACUAGUAAUCGUAGAUCAGCAAUGCUACGGUGAAUACGUUCCGCGGGUUCU
rnacentral:rRNA from 1 species